AUGGUGUUAUCUUCUUUAUUGCAGGAAUUCCAAGAUGUUUUCCCCGACGAGCUACCUCCGGGUCUACCUCCACUACGAGGCAUUGAGCACCGAAUUGACCUCAUCCCCGGAGCACCUCUACCUAACAAGGCCCCAUACCGCGUCAACCCCGAAGAAACCAAAGAAAUACAAAGGCAAGUAAAGCAUCUCAUAGAUCAUGGACAUGUGCGUGAAAGUUUGAGUCCUUGUGCCGUACCGGCCAUUCUAGUGCCUAAACGAGAUGGUAGAUUUCGCAUGUGUUCCGAUUGUAGACCUAUCAAUGCUAUCACCGUUCGAUAUAGGUACCCCAUUCCACGCCUUGAUGAUAUGCUUGAUGAACUUAGCGGUGCCACUAUUUUCUCUAAAAUUGAUCUUAAAAGUGGUCACUAUCAAAUCCGCAUACAAGAGGGUGAUGAAUGGAAAACCGCUUUCAAAACAAAGUUUGGUCUAUAUGAGUGGUUAGUCAUGCCUAUGGGUUUAUCGGAAGCACCCGGUACUUUCAUGCGUCUUAUGCAUUAUGUGUUUCGCCCUUACAUUGGUGAAUUUGUUGUUGUCUACUUUGACGAUAUCCUUGUGUUUAGCAAAUCUCUCAAAGAGCAUGUCACCCACCUUCGAGCCGUGCUACAAACUCUUCGAAAAGAACAACUUUAUGCUAAUAUGGAAAAAUGCCUCUUUGGUGUUGAUAAGCUUGUUUUCUUGGGUUUUGUAGUCUCUUCUAAGGUUGUUCAUGUUGAUGAAUCUAAGAUAAAUGCUAUUAAAACUUGGCCCCAACCAACAAAUUUGCAACAAGUGCGUAGUUUUCUUGGUUUGGCCGGUUUCUACCGUAGAUUUGUGAAGGAUUUUAGCACUAUUGCUUCACCUUUGCAUGCUUUGAGUAAGAAAAAUGCACCGUUUGUUUGGGGAACAUCCCAAGAUAUCGCUUUCAAUGAGCUUAAGAAUUUGCUUACUCAUGCUCCCGUGCUUGCAUUACCAAACUUUGAUAAACCUUUUGAAAUUCAUUGCGAUGCUAGUGGUAAUGGCAUAGGAGGUGUGUUAACGCAAGAGAAGCGUCCAAUAGCAUACUUUAGCGAGAAACUCUCCGGCGCGCAACUCAAUUAUCCCAUCUAUGACAAAGAGCUAUAUGCUUUAGUGCGAGUUUUGCGUGAAUGGGAACAUUACCUCCGCCCUCAUGAAUUUAUCAUCCAUACCGAUCAUGAAACGCUUAAAUACCUUAAGGGUCAAACUAAGUUGAACAAGCGUCAUGCUUAG
rnacentral:rRNA from 1 species